GUGCUGAGAAAAGAUAAAUCAUCAUGGAUCGCAAGGUUCUUCUUCUCCUCGUCUUGGUUCUCGUCACCGUUCAGCUCUCGAGUGUGAACGCAGAAGAAAGUGAUAAUAUGGUAUGGUCAAAUUGGAAAUACUGGGAUCAAAAGGAGGCGCAAAAAUUGAGAAAUGAAUAUCAGGCUGCCAAGGCCGUUAACGAUUUGUUCUCUCAAAUGUUGGAUUAAAAUAAAACACAGGACAAGAUUAAUGCGUUCCGCUGGAGAAAAAUAAACAGAC